GCUUAACCGGAGAAGUGCAUCGGAAACUGGGAGACUUGAGUGCAGAAGAGGACAGUGGAACUCCAUGUGUAGCGGUGGAAUGCGUAGAUAUAUGGAAGAACACCAGUGGCGAAGGCGGCUGUCUAGUCUGUAACUGACGCUGAGGCUCGAAAGCAUGGGUAGCGAACAGGAUUAGAUACCCUGGUAGUCCAUGCCGUAAACGAUGAGUGCUAAGUGUUGGAGGGUUUCCGCCCUUCAGUGCUGCAGCUAACGCAUUAAGCACUCCGCCUGGGGAGUACGACCGCAAGGUUGAAACUCAAAGGAAUUGACGGGGGCCCGCACAAGCGGUGGAGCAUGUGGUUUAAUUCGAAGCUACGCGAAGAACCUUACCAGGUCUUGACAUCUUCUGCCAAUCUUAGAGAUAAGACGUUCCCUUCGGGGACAGAAUGACAGGUGGUGCAUGGUUGUCGUCAGCUCGUGUCGUGAGAUGUUGGGUUAAGUCCCGCAACGAGCGCAACCCUUAUUAUCAGUUGCCAGCAUUCAGUUGGGCACUCUGGUGAGACUGCCGGUGACAAACCGGAGGAAGGUGGGGAUGACGUCAAAUCAUCAUGCCCCUUAUGACCUGGGCUACACACGUGCUACAAUGGACGAUACAACG
rnacentral:rRNA from 1 species